rnacentral:rRNA from 1 species
CCGGGAAACCGGGGCUAAUACCGGAUGGUUGUUUGAACCGCAUGGUUCAAACAUAAAAGGUGGCUUCGGCUACCACUUACAGAUGGACCCGCGGCGCAUUAGCUAGUUGGUGAGGUAAUCGGCUCACCAAGGCAACGAUGCGUAGCCGACCUGAGAGGGUGAUCGGCCACACUGGGACUGAGACACGGCCCAGACUCCUACGGGAGGCAGCAGUAGGGAAUCUUCCGCAAUGGACGAAAGUCUGACGGAGCAACGCCGCGUGAGUGAUGAAGGUUUUCGGAUCGUAAAGCUCUGUUGUUAGGGAAGAACAAGUACCGUUCGAAUAGGGCGGUACCUUGACGGUACCUAACCAGAAAGCCACGGCUAACUACGUGCCAGCAGCCGCG